rnacentral:rRNA from 1 species
GGAGUCUGGACCGUGUCUCAGUUCCAGUGUGGGGGACCUUCCUCUCAGAACCCCUACUGAUCGUUGCCCCGGUGGGCCGUUACCCCGCCGGCAAGCUAAUCAGACGCAUCCCCAUCCCUUACCGACGAAUCUUUGCUCCUCGUUAGAUGCCUGCUAAGGAGAACAUAGAGUAUUAAUCCGACUUUCGCCGGGCUAUUCUCUACUAUGGGGAAGGUUGGAUACGCGUUACUCACCCGUGCGCCGGUCGCCAUCAAUCAAAGCAAGCUUCGAUCAUGCUGCCCCUCGACUUGCAUGUGUUAAGCCUGUAGCUAGCGUUCAUC